GGGGCGGCGCGCUCUCCCCGGGCUCCCCUUCCCCGCUUCCCCCGCCCCGGCGCCGGCCCCGCUGCGUGCUCGCGCAGACACCCACUCUCGCCGGCGCCAGCGCUUGCAGACGCACGGUGACACAGACCCCCGGCGCGCAGAAGCACGGGCACACUCGCAGACUCAACGCUGGGACGCGGGGACUCUCAGACACGCGUUCCUAUAGACAGAUGCCCACACGGACUCACAGCACGAGGCAGUGUGUGUUCCAGCAAGAGGGUUGUCCUCCUGGGGUGUGUCGGCGAGGAGUGUGGCUGUGCCUGCCAGCAAGACAAGGAAGGCGGAAAACGAAGAGGGGCUGCGACAUAAGGAGAGGAGGUACCGCGAAGUGGAUCCAGACUCAGUUUCUCUGCAGUGAUCACCCACUCACCGGUGCGACCGUCCUGAUUACACAGGUGGCCUCUGUCACAGCAAGGAUCUCAGCAGAUAAGAACUCCUCUCUCCCUAGGUGGGAGGGAGGGGGCACCGGGAAGGCCUCAAGGUCAGGGCCCCAUUCCGAGUCUUCUCCAUGUCUUCAGAAUGCAGAACAGCUGCAGCCCUGAAUAAGUCUGAAAGAGGGCCAUAUUCAUGCAGAUGACACCUCCCUGGGUCUGGCACUGUGUGGGGCGCUUCAUCUUUGUCAUCUCAUGGGGACUCACAUCAGCUCUGCUAGGUUGUUUCCAUUUUACAGAAGAGAAAACCAAGGCCUGGGCAGCAUGCAUGACCUGUCCCAGGUCACACAGCCAGUGAGGGACAGAGGCAGAAGUCCUUUCUAGUCCAUCACGUGGGAAACGGUUGAACAGUGUUUUAUUGGACAUUGAUCAAGGACCACAAACUGGAAGCUCUGGGAGGGCAGGGUCUUUACUUGCCCUUUCGCCAUUCCUUCCCUUGACAAGCACCUAUCACAUGCCUGGCAUGGUGCUUUGUGCCAGGGUUACAAACAUGAACAGAUGGACAAGGUCUCUGCCUUUACAGAAUUCCUAGUCCAGUGAGGGAAACCGAUGACUUGUGUGUAAAUAGAUAACAUAUUUUCAGGUAAUGAUGCUGUGAAGGAAGUGCAAAGCCACGGGAUGGAACAAUCGGGGAUGGGUGGGUAGGGCUGCUUUAGAAGCGUAAUCAGGGGAGGCCUCCUAGAGGAGGUGAUGUUGGUACUCAGACCUUCCUGGCAAGUGGAGUCAGCCACGGCAAGUACUAGUGGAAGAAGGAUUUGGACUUUGUCAAAGUCCCCCACUGUGUUGGGAUGGGGCGAAGGUUGGGGGUAGGAGAGAUGGUUCUGGAGAGGUUGGUAAGUGCCGGGUCAUGCAGGGCUUGGAAGGUCAUGGUGCUAAGUGCAGUAGGAAACCAUGGGAGGGUUUAAGAAGAGGUGCUCUGAUUUACAAGUUAGAGAGAUGACUCAGUGGGCUCCGGGAGAAUGGAGUGGAGGAGGGUGAGGUAGAUGUGGGAGCAUGGAGGUCAAAUAAAGGAAGGUCCAGGCACUGGAUGAUGGUGGCUUGGAUUCUGGUGUUGGCAGUGGGGAUGUCAGGAGGGCAUCGAUUUGGGAUGUUUUGGAAGGUAGAAGCAACGGAACUUGCUGAUGGCCUGGAUCCCAGCGCCUAGAACAUAGUAAACACUCAAUAAAGAUUCGUUGAAUGGGUGAGCAAAGGCACCUUCUGGGUGCCAGGCUCUUGUGCGCAUCCUCCAGUGUAA